GACGAACGCUGGCGGCGUGCUUAACACAUGCAAGUCGAACGGAAAGGCCCUGCUUUUGUGGGGUGCUCGAGUGGCGAACGGGUGAGUAACACGUGAGUAACCUGCCCUUGACUUUGGGAUAACUUCAGGAAACUGGGGCUAAUACCGGAUAGGAGCUCCUGCUGCAUGGGGGGGGUUGGAAAGUUUCGGCGGUUGGGGAUGGACUCGCGGCUUAUCAGCUUGUUGGUGGGGUAGUGGCUUACCAAGGCUUUGACGGGUAGCCGGCCUGAGAGGGUGACCGGCCACAUUGGGACUGAGAUACGGCCCAGACUCCUACGGGAGGCAGCAGUGGGGAAUAUUGCACAAUGGGCGGAAGCCUGAUGCAGCAACGCCGCGUGCGGGAUGACGGCCUUCGGGUUGUGAACCGCUUUCGCCUGUGACGAAGCGUGAGUGACGGUAAUGGGUAAAGAAGCACCGGCUAACUACGUG
rnacentral:rRNA from 1 species